AACCUCCGCAAUGUGAGAAAUCGCGACGGGGGGAUUCCAAGUGCCAUUCUUAACGGGAUGGCUUUUCAUUAGUGUAAAGAGCUUUUGGAAUAAGAGCUGGGCAAGACCGGUGCCAGCCGCCGCGGUAACACCGGCAGCUCUAGUGGUAGCAGUUUUUAUUGGGCCUAAAGCGUCCGUAGCCGGUUUAAUAAGUCUCUGGUGAAAUCCUGUAGCUUAACUGUGGGAAUUGCUGGAGAUACUAUUAGACUUGAGACCGGGAGAGGUUAGAGGUACUCCCAGGGUAGAGGUGAAAUUCUGUAAUCCUGGGAGGACCGCCUGUUGCGAAGGCGUCUAACUGGAACGGUUCUGACGGUGAGGGGCGAAAGUUAGGGGCGCGAACCGGAUUAGAUACCCGGGUAGUCCUAACCGUAAACGAUGCGGACUUGGUGUUGGGGUGGCUUUGAGCUGCUCCAGUGCCGAAGGGAAGCUGUUAAGUCCGCCGCCUGGGAAGUACGGUCGCAAGACUGAAACUUAAAGGAAUU
rnacentral:rRNA from 1 species